rnacentral:rRNA from 1 species
GACGAACGCUGGCGGCGUGCCUAAUACAUGCAAGUCGACCAUAGUUGCGUACGGGUUAGUAAAACGUGGGUAAACUGCCCAUCAAAAGGGGAAAACAGUUGGAAACAGGUGCUAAUACCGUAAAAUGAUGGAUGGACUCGCGGUGCAUUAGCUAGUUGGUGAGGUAACGGCUCACCAAGGCCACGAUGCAUAGCCGACCUGAGAGUGUGAUCGGCCACAGUGGGACUGAGACACGGCCCAAACUCCUACGGUAGGCAGCAGUAGGGAAUCUUCCGCAAUGGACGAAAGUCUGACCGAGCAACGCCGCGUGAGUGAAGAAGGUUUUCGGAUCGUAAAACUCUGUUGUUAGAGAAGCGGUAUCUAACCAGAAAGCCACGGCUAACUACGUGCCAGCAGCCGCGGUAAUUC